UACGGGGGGGGGCAAGCGUUUGUUCGGAAUCAUUGGGCGUAAAGAGCGUGUAGGCGGUUUGUCGCGUCUGCCGUGAAAGUCCGGGGCUCAACUCCGGAUCUGCGGUGGGUACGGGCAGACUAGAGUGAUGUAGGGGAGACUGGAAUUCCUGGUGUAGCGGUGAAAUGCGCAGAUAUCAGGAGGAACACCAAUUGCGAAGGCAGCUCGCUGGGACGUUACUGACGCUGAGACGCGAAAGCGUGGGGAGCAAACAGG
rnacentral:rRNA from 1 species